rnacentral:rRNA from 1 species
AUUGAACGCUGGCGGCACGCCUUACACAUGCAAGUCGAGCGGUAACCGGUCUUCGGAUGCUGACGAGUGGCGAACGGGUGAGUAAUACAUCGGAACGUGCCCGAGAGUGGGGGAUAACGAGGCGAAAGCUUUGCUAAUACCGCAUACGAUCUCAGGAUGAAAGCAGGGGACCGCAAGGCCUUGCGCUCACGGCGCGGGCGAUGGCAGAUUAGGUAGGUGGUGGGAUAAAAGCUUACCAAGCCGACGAUCUGUAGCUGGUCUGAGAGGACGACCAGCCACACUGGGACUGAGACACGGCCCAGACUCCUACGGGAGGCAGCAGUGGGGAAUUUUGGACAAUGGGCGCAAGCCUGAUCCAGCCAUGCCGCGUGCAGGAUGAAGGCCUUCGGGUUGUAAACUGCUUUUGUACGGAACGAAAAGACUCCUUCUAAUAAAGGGGUCAUGACGGUACCGUAAGAAUAAGCACCGGCUAACUACGUGCCAGCCGCCGCAGUAACAC